AAAUUGAAGAGUUUGAUCAUGGCUCAGAUUGAACGCUGGCGGCAGGCCUAACACAUGCAAGUCGAACGGUAACAGGAAGCAGCUUGCUGCUUCGCUGACGAGUGGCGGACGGGUGAGUAAUGUCUGGGAAACUGCCUGAUGGAGGGGGAUAACUACUGGAAACGGUGGCUAAUACCGCAUAACGUCGCAAGACCAAAGAGGGGGACCUUCGGGCCUCUUGCCAUCAGAUGUGCCCAGAUGGGAUUAGCUUGUUGGUGAGGUAACGGCUCACCAAGGCGACGAUCCCUAGCUGGUCUGAGAGGAUGACCAGCCACACUGG
rnacentral:rRNA from 1 species